UGAGGGAACCCUUGACAUUUUUGGUGAUGA
rnacentral:piRNA from 1 species